rnacentral:lncRNA from 1 species
GGUUAAACCUCGGUACAGAAGCGAGACCCUGCUGGGCAGAGAAAGGGUGACCUGGAAGGUGUGUGAGGGCCCCGCCCAUGGGCCCCUGUGAUGGUCAUGGCCUCAAGAAUCACAGUCCAGUUUCCAUCAUUAUCUUCUAUGGAGUUCUUCAUUCCCACAUCUGUGGACCUUAAAAUCCUACCGUUGAGUGCCUGCCUUGGAUCAGCAGUCAGUUCGUUACCUUGGUUCUCAGACGAUGCUUGCAACAACGCCAUGCGAUUCGCCCACUCUUGGGUUACAUUAGUUAUACACUCUGGAGGUGACUUGACCUGUCAUUGUGAACAAUUAUUGCUCUUGGACGACCCAGGACAUAGGCCAGCCAGUACGUACCCCAGUGUGUUGGAGAAUCGCGCUCGGCUUCUUCCUCUGUGCUGAGUCAUGAAAGUUGCCGGAGCAGGUGCAGUUACACAACCUCCAGGUAUGAUCCUGUUUAAGGACUGGAUUUAGGAUAACUACUUAGAGGUUAAAAGUCACAAGGGUGUAUGGAUGAGGCUGGAGUGAUCUGGGACCAAAGACAUCUAGGCUUGCUGUCAAGGCUUCUGAUCAACAUGAGAUGACCGCCGUGUGGUAAACUGAUGAACCCUGACCCUGAUCAACAUGAGAUGACCGCCGUGUGGUAAACUGAUGAACCCCGACCCUGAUGAACGUGAGAUGACCGCCGUGUGGUAAACUGAUGAACCCCGACCCUGAUGAACGUGAGAUGACCGCCGUGUGGUAAACUGAUGAACCCCGACCCUGAUGAACGUGAGAUGACCGCCGUGUGGUAAACUGAUGAACCCCGACCCUGAUGAACGUGAGAUGACCGCCGUGUGGUAAACUGAUGAACCCCGACCCUGAUCAACGUGAGAUGACCGCCGUGUGGUAAACUGAUGAACCCCGACCCUGAUGAACAUGAGAUGACCGCCGUGUGGUAAACUGAUGAACCCCGACCCUGAUCAACAUGAGAUGACCGCCGUGUGGUAAACUGAUGAACCCCGACCCUGAUCAACAUGAGAUGACUGCCGUGUGGUAAACUGAUGAACCCUGACCCAUUAGGCUUUGGCUACAGAAUGUGGAAAUAAGUUGUGUUACUACAUGUGUGUAAUCCUAGGGUGCAGGACACCGGCCGGGAGGUUCCAUAGAGUGAUGGGUUCUGCAGGUAACUCAUCCUCUAGUCCUCUGUAAGCUCCUAGAAGGAAGAAAUUAUGUCCUUUAGACUAAUAAAAUUCCUCCAAACCAAAUACAGCACCUACUGUGAAGACACAAAGAUACUUUUAGAAUAGUAAAAACUUUAUCCAUUGAGAAAUUCCUUAAUGAAACAGUAUCCAAGAAGUCAUUUGCCAGCAGAUUUCUUAGAGGUGCGAUAAAGAAGAGGACAUUGCCAGUCGUCACAGCAGCUGCAAUAGCUCCUCUCUAUUGUUAAACAGUGGGAUAUCUUGUGCAGGUUUUCAGUUGACAAUCAAUUUUAAAGAUUAGUUUCGGUCCCCAUCAAUCAAUUAUUUAUUAACCCAUCAAUAAAAAUUUAAAUGCUCUGUGAGGUACAAUAGCUAUUAAAAGAGACAGAGGCACUUUCUGUGUCCAGAGGGGCUUUUAGUCUGCUCUGGAAAGCAAGAUGCGUGCAGAUGAGUGACGCAGUGCAUCGUGUGGAUGCAAAGGGAGGGACUCACAUGGGAACCAGAGGAGCUACGAAGGGAGGCAGUGGGGACUGGUGGGUCGAGACCUGGAAAUAACACAUGAAUAGGCAACAAAGGUUUCCUUUCCUCUUCCAUGCACUUCAGUCCUUGAAAAACGUCUUACCACGGAAUUCCACAGCGUACCAAGCGAUUCCACAGCUUGAUGGCACACUCUCCUUUCUCAGCAUUCUUGAAAAUGGCGUGUGAGCCAAGCCAUCUUACUGAGAAAUUACCUUAAACCAUUUGAUGAACCAAAAAUAUUUUGUAAUACCCAUCUCCGACAUUAGGUAGGCAAAUCACACAGAAACACCGAGGUCUUCUGAGUCAUAUUUAUCUGAAAAAUCACAGCUUGGGUGCAUGUGAAGCCAGAGGAGCACUCCUGGGGCCUGCGGUGCCAUCACUCAGCUCCCCUGGGCUUCACAUGGCCAUGGAGCACCCAGCAAGUGUAGGCUCUGAGCCUUCAGGGAGGGGCGGCAUCAGCCAGCACCAUCGUCUCCUGGGUCUUGUGCCUCUUCCUUGGUUGCGGUGUUGUCAGGGCCAGAAUUGGGCAAUUCCGGGUGACAUCCAGGUGUGGCUGCUGACACGGAGCACAGGACACCCUGCUCCUGUGGUUUGCAGCCCCGGCCUUCUCUUCGAGGACGCCUCUGCUCUUCUGCCUCACACUCGGAUUGGACCUUCUUCAGCACAGCCAGUGGCCGAGGCUUCCUCCCUGGGGCUCAGUGGAGCAGGACAGAUGCUGCAUCCAAACUCUUCCAUUGGGUUCCAGUCUGUUCCAGUCAUGCCCUUGAGCCUCUAAAGCUCCUAGGUGAGAGACGUAGCAGCUGACAGCACUUCCCACUUGAUUUGGGUGGACUCCAGCCUCCCCAGCAACAAUAAGAGAUCAAAAGCAUCGUUGAGGAAGCAGCUUGCUGAAACGCUGAGUGCCCGCCACUCUCAGGUCAGGUGGGACCGGCAGGCCAGCAUGAGUUCCUGAACACUUGGUUCUCAAUACUGGCCACAGCCACACUGUAAGGGGAAACAAGAGGGCACUGUAUGCAAACAUCUCUUGAACUCUGGAGUCUGCUCACCUUCCUGCCUCAAGCCCCUCUCCCACGUGGUCCAGUCACCAUUCUCCACAGAGACUACCCUAAAACCCAGCGACUCUCGUGUGCCUGCAGAAUGGCACAGCCCGUUCUCAUAGCAGCACUCCUGUUUAAUCAGAGGGAUGUUAACGACCAAGUCAUAUUUGCUCGAUUUGUGUUCAACAUAUUUCAUUUGUACCGAUAAAACUUAAAAAUAUCCCCACACAUGCAUUGCCUAUUAAAGAGUAUCUUCCAGGUACACCUCCCUUACACAUCAGUUAACUUGAUAAUUUCUUCCCAUUCUUGUGCAAUAAAUUUCCUUCCUGAUCAGCUCUGUCCAGCAGCAACAAUAAUCCACGUAGAGACAUGCAAACUAAAAGUCCGUUAGUGGAGGCACGAAGCUGAUGAGGCUUGGAAAAAAAUGACCGAUUUGAUUAAAAUUAGGACCCAUGGGAGUGGAGCUCUGCCUAUUUUAGAGGCAAAGUAAAUGCCUGGGAGUCCAAUCACCGACAUUCUGUUUGAGGUUUCUAAUCACAAGGAAGAUGGAGAAAAUGCAGAACAAGUGGUCAAGAACAGGGAGAUAAUAAAUAGAAUAUUUAUGGGCUGAGGAAAACAAUUACCAGGGGAAAGCCCAAGAAGCAAAGAUGAACAGAGAACGUGCUGACUGCGCUCGUUUGGAAAGGCCUCAUGGCCAAAGGAGGAGAGGCAUUAUGAGGAGCAGUGACCGAGUGGGCAGGACCCCCGGGGAUCAGGAAAGGUGCACGGGGGGAAAUGAGAGGCCUGAGCGGCUUCCCAGCGAAGGUUUUUGAAGCACGGUUUGAUUUUCUCUCUCCCCCUCACCAUCCCCAAAUUUUAGUUGUGACUAUCUCCAGGUACAUGGCUUGCGACAGGCGGUGUAUAAAAACUAAUGUCAGUUUAAUUUUAAAACCUUAGCCAUUUUCUGGAACUUAAAUAUCAAAGAGAAAAUGUCCACAUAUGAUGUUAAUUGAGGUUUGUCUCACUGGUGAUUUGUGCUGAUUCAAUUCCUGUUUCUUUUUUUUUUUCUUAAGGGGUCAGUUUUAGAAUUGGGAGAUAGGUGUAUAACAUAUGACUAUACAGCGCAGGUUGGUUUUUUAACAUAGAAAUAUCUGCCUUUAAAUGAGAACUGAAAACGGAGCUUCUUGGAGGCCACCUGCUGGUGGCAGUGAUCUGACCGCUGUUUAAGCUUUCUUUGAACUCCUUUUUUUAAAACAGCCUCCAUAAUCAAUGGUGUACGAUCUACUCUCGUGGUAAAACUUACUCAGUGAAGAGUGUGUUUUAUUUUCUGAGGAGCUGAACUGUUCCAACCUGAGUAUUCUGAAUAAGGACAGUGGUCGAGCAUGAGUGAUGCCAUCUGGGCUUAGAAAUAAGUGGGCCUAAAAUCUGAUUGUUUUCAUACAUUGUUCAGAUAUUGACGCAAAUAGCAAUUUAUUUUGUAAAAAAUGAUUGGUAUCCGGAACUUGCAACAGCUGUGUGUGGCUUGAAGGGAGAUGAAGUGGUGAAGGCCUGGUUUCCACCGAAGCUCUCACAGCCCAGCCUUUCACUGUGUGGCCGGGGGAAGGGUGCUCCGGGUGGGGGACGGGAAUGGUGGGACUGGGGAUGCCACGGGACAAGGCUGCUGGCCUGGAAGGUAGUCACGUGGAGAACCGCAGGAGAUGAGAUUGGAAAGUAGUAAUAAGCCAUGUGGAUAAGAACAGAGGAGCGGGUUUUAAGGGGGACGUCCUGAAAUGCUGCUCAUGUCGUUUCAGUUCCAUAGACCACAGGAAAUGCAGGUGAGAGGGCAGCCCGGUGGGAAGGAAGGAAGAGGGUGGUGGUGAGCCAGGUGAGUGUGGAGCCGCCCAGGGCACCGUGCUGUGCGAUAGCUCAGGCAUCGGGUGCUUCUGCCAAACCCUUCAGCAGCUGGUUUGGGGCCAAACGUCCUUCCUGUGUGAGAGAAGGCAGAGCCUAGGCAGCAUUCCAAACCCCAUCCAGAUGGGAGGCUGAGUGCAGAGCAAACGGAGCCCAGCACUCCAGAGCCGUGUCCCUUCACUGCCAUGAUCACAUCACAAACAGCGAGGCUUGGAGAGGACUUAAGAGCUCCUUCAAUGCCAUCUUCCAUCCACUGCGUGAGCCAGAAUAGAAAAAAAGGAAUAAGAAGAGGUCGGUUAAGCUCUCUAUUAAGUUGAGAAAAUGGGAACUUCAGGUGAUCAUGUGAGAUAUUCAAGUUAAAAAAAUUAUUUAAAAAGCACAUUCUUAUUAUUAAAAUUUUAGAAAGUACAGAGAAGGAAAUUUUAAUAACCUACACCUAGAACACUAAGAUACUGGUAACGUAGAAAAAUGUGUAGUUAAUGCCUUGAUGGAUUCUUUUCUAUUUUUUUCUCUAGCAAUAUUUAUGUCUAUCCACAGAAAGCGUACACUCAUGUAUUUGCAUGGCUAAUAUAUUUUAUGUAAAGUUCUAUAUAUUUCUCAACAUUUCACUUAAUAUUUCUUUAUAAACAUUUUUCCAGUGAAUAAAAAUUUUUCCAAACAGUAAUUUUAAUGACUAUAUAACAUUUCAUUGCAUUUAUAUAUCAUUUGUUAUUUAACUACUUCAUCAUUUUGGAUUCACAUAUUUUCAAUAAUUUCCAUUAUAAUAAUAAUGUCAUGAAUACCUUUGUAC